UCGUCGUGAAGAGAAAUCUACAUUAACCGUUGAGCCAUCCAUAGGACCGCAUUUAUGUCAGCCGAGGGUCACACCAACUCUUCCCUGAUAGACUAAAUAAAGAAGCCUGAGGAGACAUCUUUGAGGCAAGGCCUUGAGUGGAGCGAUUGGGAAGGCAACCCAGCCAUAAAACCUCCAACAACCUACACUUUGUCCUGCCUUCAUGAUGUCAUGAGAGAGACCAGAGUCCCAUCCAGCAAUGGGAACAGAACUCAGAAAGCUCUGUGGAGGAGAGAGAAGAGGGAUUGGAGGAGCCAGAGGGAUCAAGAACAUGACUCACAGAAUCAACUGACCAGGACUCAGGUGGAGGGCAAGGGAAGUCGAACUAUGUCACUCACACUAGGCUUCAACUCUCGAUCCUCUGUCUCAGCAUCCAGGAUGCCAGAAUUUCAUGCAGGAAGCAUCCCAGCUGUGGAGAAACAUUGAGACCCCAUUCUCUUUCACUGAAAAUGCUGAGAAAUUGAGACAAGAAAUGGGACUCAGGCAGGCAGAGUAGAAAGAGCUCAGAGAAUCUCCGUAAGCAAGUGACCCAACAACAACAUUUCUGAGAAGUUCAGCAGGAACCCAUCUUCCAUGGCCUCUACAGAUCCUGCCAAAUUCCCCGUCAAGAGUGGAGAUCCUGAAAUAACUGAAAAGAUCUGAAAUUUGGAAAGACCUGUGGCAGAGUUACACUAUCAAAGUCCAGAUGUGCGGUUCCAAAGCUGUUCACCACCAGUCUGGGCUGCUGUCUCAGUCUUGAUCUAACCAGAGAUGCUCCUUGAGGCGAAGCUAAAACAAGGAAUCGGAAACC
rnacentral:lncRNA from 1 species